rnacentral:rRNA from 1 species
ACGAACUUUCGGAAACUUGUUGGGCCGUGCACCGGGCGAAGUGCGGAGAUGGGUGGCGCCGGGCCAAGAGUGGCUGUUCGUACCGGGCGUAUAGCCAGGUAGGUUUGGAGAGGGGCGUGGUGGCGGGCGAGGAGGGUGUCUAGCGUGGCGGUGGUCGUGCAACGGGAUCUUCCAAAGGCGGGCCAGGUGGCGUCGUCGUGUGUUUCCCGUUUCGCUGGCGUCGCCCUUCGGAGGUGUCGCCCUGGGCUUGGCCGGCGGCGCGGCGGGGGCGGGGGCGGGGGAGAGGCGCUGCUGCCCUACCCCGCUUUCCCCGGGUUCCCCGGGUUCCCCCGGUUCCGCUUGCGGCUGCGGGAGUGCUUCCGGCGGGACCGGCGGUACUCGCUCCUCUGCUGGCAUGCGUAGUGGUGCCACGAGCUCCUGAAGGCGCGGAGGCUGCGGGUUCACGUGUGUAAGCUUGGAUCAGAAUGGUUAGUUCUCGCCCGACGUCAUGUACGAUACACAUUUUUCUACCCGUACUAUAGUUUCUCAUUUCCCAUACCCCUUGCCGCUACGGAAAGACAAAUGUUUUGAUUUUUGUGUGUCCGCGGACCAUUUCUUCUUCCGGGAUCGUUUGAGCCUAAAAGACUUCUUCGUUCUGUCUAAAACAAUCUAGACAAAUGUGUGAUAGGAGGACUACUACGACUUAACUUACCACUACGACAGUUCUUAGGACCGCUAUUCCGACGAUUUUAAGCUACCUUCUGUCUAUGUCGGAAAAGGUCCGGUCGAUACGUCUUUGUACUAUAUCGUUUCUUCCAGUUCUACGAAUGCAGCUUUAAUUCACUAGGAUCUGUCAACUCCUUCUAGCCACUUCUGUCUAGGUUUGAAGGCUAACGUAGGAAGUUUCUAGUGUAAAGAAGAUGGGAUCUUUUAGUGGUCCACCAAGAAUAAAGACCUCUUUGUCCGACGCCAUUUUGAUGGGUCCAAGGCGUUAUAUAGAAUCUAGUACACACCCCGUUCCCACUUAGUACAUUCUAGUAAACAUGAGUUGGCGCCGCCUAUAGUCGAUACAGUCAACGGCUUGCUUAGAGACAACUUUCUCCUCUCUGACAACCACUAUGUCAACCCAUGUUCUAUGCAAACCUUAGCUUCCCUCCCUUCUUAAGCAGUUAGUAAAAGACGUGUUUACCACAAGAGAACUCCCACAACUAUCCGUCUCAUUGAUUGUCAAGUUUAUCCGUUGCGCGUCGACUACUACAUUAAUACCCCUAUUGUGUGUAAUAACACCUACUUUAGGUACUUUCCCUAUCCAAAAGACUAAAGUACGACCGAUAGAACUCUCUAGACGACGGCUACAUAGGAGUAGAAGUAAACCACGAGUACUCACGUUGCUAACUACGACUCGCCAAAAGUGUUAUAAAGUUACCUACGGGCCAAUAAGCUCAGGGUCCGGUAUGGAUAGGCCAGUUUUGAAAGAUAAACCUCCUACACGAAAGAUAAGACGUUAGACAUCCACUAUUAGUAGAAUUAGGACUUUGUUUACUAGACCCUGAACUGUCACACGAUUGGCUACUAAUGUUUUCGAGUUACCUACUUCGUUAAUCGUACCGAAAUCGGUCACUACUUAAACUAGAAGAGUAACUCGAAUAAAGAUAUCUCGUCUUGGGUCUUUAGAAGUUGAUGGUUGUAAGUCUCUGACCACACUGUGGAAACUACCAAAAACGGUCCUUCCCAGUCGAACCCCUACAGACAUACGAAAAUAGUAAACCACACCUAACAAGACGUGCCCUAGUACUACCUUUUAGACGUAAUCUAACCCGUGUCGUUCUCUUAGUCCAUCUCCGAAUACUUCAAUAAUUCUUUGUAUACCUAACAUCAGGACGUUUUAAUGGACUUCUUUUGCUCGACGAAUUCUUUAUGAACCGGUGAUAGUUGGGUCUUGUGUAACUAUGACACGACUAUCUUGCCAACGAAUCUUUUUAUACAUGACUGAGGUUACUUCCUCGAUAGAAUCAGAAGGAAGGACCAACCCUUCUAUAUUUAGUUUGUGCCCUCUCCAAUGAACGAAGAAGGAAAGCCCUAAGAAGUUUUAAAGAACAUGACAGUGAAGUAAGGUACUAUGGUAGAAGUCUCGUCUUUUUCCAAAAGUUUGCACGUGGCCGUCCCCAAGCAUUUUAAUAAGAGAGUUGGUUGUAUCGCCUCUGACGUCAUUGUUAACUACUAUAACAUAAACAAGAUCUAUCACCCUCCUACUUUCUCUUUUCGAUACUAGGUAUGUUAUUACACAGAUGUGAAGUAUGAAGAACCCAUAGAGCUCGAUUACGUUCUGUCGCACUUCCUGCACGGCCAGCAACAGUCGGUCCUUAAACGAUAGUAGAAAUGAGAUCUAAAGCUCGUCGGAGCAACGGUCUUAAGGUUUAAGGACUUUAAUUCUCCUACGGAUAACUUCUCGACACAAACGUCCAGUUUGACGAACUAGGUUUGAGAUUUUAUCGUCUGAAAAAUUUAAUCUGGAACCUAGGAGGUCAAUGUCUCUGACAUUUUUUACGAUAAUGACACGAAGUCCUAGAACCACGAAAUUGAGUUUUACUUGUUAACUGUCUAAACCCACUUUUCAAUCCAAGAGAGGGCCAGGUAGGUAGGUGUUCGUUCUACGAGGACAAACCAUAUAACUACUUGACGGAACUAGGACGUAACUGUAACCGUACACGUCGUCUGAUAUCUCUAGGAAAGCAGGAAGGAUACCGAGGCCUACUCUCUUUUUCCCGACGACGUCGGUUCCAACUCGAACGAAGUAAUAUACCACCUAUAUCACUGGUCGAACGACAACAUCGUCGUAAACUAACAACCUGCACACGGUUUCUCUUUCCUGUUCUUCGAAACAAAACAAGUUUCAUGAAACAUCGAAGUUUGUGGUACUUAUACAACAGAUCAUACUCCUUUGUCGAGGUGUCACUUGAUCGAGUUUCUCCUAAAGAAGGACGACUAUGUAGACGGACGUCGAACUUACGAUUUCAAGGUCCAUAGUAAUCACGACAGGAACACCGACCGCGAAUGGGUUACCAUCCUGCUAACGAGGGAGGAGCGUUUUUACGAUCUUCCCGUCAACACCUUUGUCGUUCACCACGGUUUCAAGCUGAUGUGGGCGUAAGAAGGUUGAAAUUGAACAGUAAAUUAUUUAGGAGACCCUUAGGUGAUUACCAUAAACUACUUUAGUGAGCUCCACUACCACCUUACAUACAUUUCUUGACAAGUCAACAACCUAGUAUAGGAAAUGAAGACGAACGAUGUCUUUAUCGACAACGAGGUGGACUACUACAUUCACUACUCCUACUACUUCCAAGGUCACCCCUACUUCGCCCUUUUUCGUGAGACCCUGUUGUUUUCCUUCUCUAGUACAGAAGAGGGCUGUUGUGACAAAGUCAACAACAACUAGCCACCGAGGCUAAACUACGAUGACGAGACCUACAACGAGUCUAUAUGACGGAUGCUCUUGCGGAUCGUAGACGAUAAGAAAAGUUUCACUUUGUAGGUGUCCUACAAGAGGGCGGACGAGAACCUCGUUGCUACAUACGCUAACGAACAUAGGAUAGCAUACUACCGAACGGACCAUUAAACCGUUGUUUUGUACCAAGUCCAGUCUCGAGUCGUCUACGAUCGCCUAGUCGACUCCCUUCCUUUCCACCAAAAUAAGGCGGACCACCAAAGGAAUACAGUAACGAUAGCCUGUAUGGUGGGUUACGUGGAGUAGUAGUCUUCAGUAGAUUAGUAGGUCCCCCACCAAGUCCCGUAUAAUCCAGUAGCUCCCGGGGACGACCAUCUAAAUUAGUCAGCGUCGUCGCAGGACCGGCGUUGUCGAGACCUGGUCCCUCAAGUCGUAGUGUUAGAAAGUUUUCUGUCGCCCUGCGACGUGCCACUGGACUGGCACCGAGUGUACAUUAAGUCAUGACCUAGGGUACGAACCCAGAGUGUUCUUUUCACGGUACCAACCCUUAAUUACUCCUAAAACGCCACAAACAACCCUGCUUCCGUUUUACACGUUCGUUCCUUACACCUUUCCGUUACGGAAUUAGACAGUUCCUCUGGUAUUCUACAAGGACAAGUACUGGACGUCAAAACGUCUAGUCACGUAGAGCAACAAGACAAGCGGAACGACGGAUCGAGAGAAAGUACGGCCCUGAUGGCAGAUUAAAGUUAACUACCACAUAGGCACAGAGUCUCAACGAUCCUGAACCGAUUUUUGGUCCGUGGGCCAAAACACGACUCUUGUCAAUGACAUGCACUGUCAAUCCUAAAUCAUCAUACGCAACUAUAUAGAUAGGAUACUUUAAUGCAUAGACAUAGGAGACAAAAGGACCGUACUGUACUCGUUUUGUCGACCCUCGAGGCAUCACGUCAAAUAAACCAGGAAUGUUUUUAUAAGUUUUUGAUCCAACUACGUCAAGUCAUGUUUUUGUUUGUUUAAAACAAAUAAAAAUCCAGCAAACGACAGGACAACGACCUAAUAAA